UUUCGUGCUGAAACAAAUAAGUAAUAUGAUUAGACAUUUUUUUACAAGUGUAAAAAAAAAAACAUUUGUAAAUAAAUAUUUUAUAACUUACCGCCAUUAUUGCUAGCAAUUAUUCGUUCGUUAUGCUUUAGGUACUAAAAAAUACUAAUUAAUUCCACAUCUCAGAACCCUUCCUUUAUAUUAAAAAGAGUGCUUACGAAAUAGUUUAAACACCCGAGGUAAUUGGUCUAUAUUACGUUAUAAGCAGUUUUUAAUAAUAGACCUAACUUUACACUUUUCUAUAAAGAAUAUUACGUUAGUAGUUUAGUGCUAUGUAGAGCUUUUCUGUAUUUGGUGCUGUCCAAAUACGUACGCUGACGUCUGUUCAGUUGCUAGUCCAUUAAUGUUUGAUCAUGAUACUAACUAAUGACUACGACUUUGCCUGGUAUAUUAAAAACUAAUUUUUAGUUUACAUGUUGAACAUAGUUCCGUAUCCUACAAACAUACGUAAAUACGAAACUUUGUAUGUAUAAAAGUUUUGUUACUCUUUUAUAAAAAUAACUGAACGGAUUCUGAUAAAACUUAACAGUUUUAUAAUAACAAUAUAAGCUCUAUUCCAUCUAUCUCUGUACCAAAUUUCAUCAAAAUCGGUUUAGUGGUUUAGCAUAAUUAACAGACAGAGUUACUUAUGCAUAAAAUAUUAUCUAUAGUGAUAUUAUAAAUACGAAAGUUUGUAUGUUUAUGUCAAGUUGUUAGGCACAAUCAUGCAGCAAUCGUUGGAUGGAUUUGUAUGUUUUUUAUAUACAUAGAUAGACUAUGAUCUGGACUAACACGCGUUGUUACCCUAUUAUAAUCGCGAUCGAAACCGUGUGACGAUAGCUAGUUUACCAAUAUACUUACAUAAAGGAGAAGGUUAAUAAAUUAAUAAUGUAACCAAGUAAACAUAGGGUAUAAGCAUUGUUUAGAUAUUUUUCACUUAUCAACACUUUACAUAUUUAGAAAACUGCAGAUUGCUACUUUUUAACAUACGAACUUAACUAAUAAGGAAGGGAUCCACGUCACAAAUCUUUUAUUUAAAUAGCUCUAGUGUUGAGCGAAAAUCACACAGAUCGAUUGUUAUCCUACGGGAAGCCAGUCAUUUGAAGAUCCCUAGUGCCAGCCAGCCUCAGAAGAACCUAAAGGUUUUCUCAAUAAUAAAAAUGUCGAAAUUGUUGGCGAAGGAUCUAUUCCUCUCCAGUGACGACUCUGAAGUUGAGUCAAAACCUGUGGAAAAGAAGUCUAAUAAGCGCAGAAGCUCAAGCAAACCGAGAGAAGAGCCGAAGGUGAAAAAAACGAAGACAUCCAUCACACCGUACACUCCACCACCUCGACUUACAGCGAACGAUCUAUUCGGUGAAGACAGCGAUGAGGAACAUCGGGUGAAACCGUCUACAUCCAGCAAAAGCGGUAAUAUACCACCUCUACUUUCUUCUUUUACAAGAAGAGAAUCAAGAGGGUUCUCUAAACAAAUAAGUGAGACAAAGGAGGGAAAGUAUUAUGUGGAAUUAAAGAUAUAUAACACGGAGGAGGUACAGAAAAUAGCGCCAAUUAAUAGAUGGCGAUACGCCAUCACAACUAUUAAAAUGAAACUUGAUGAACAUAAAGAUUCAUGGCAUACUUUAAAGGAGUUCGUAAAUCUAAUAAAAAAGGACUUUAGGAAUUGUCCAGUCUCAUUGCUUGGGUCAUACGAAAGUGUUAUUUAAUACGUUAUAAUAUUACCUACUUACACUAUUAUUAUAUACUCACCUAAAUAACUAUGCUAUUUACCUACUAUAAUGUAACCGAAUAAGUUAUGUAACAGAUAUUGUAAUCUUUGUUCACUGUUAUUUUAAUUUACAGAAUAAGUGUCUUCAAUAAAUAUUAGUAUUAUUAUUUAUUUUUUUCUUUUCACAGUUACUGUUGCACACCCUUACGAAACAGCAAGAGCUCAAAAUUCUAUAUACUGUGACAAAUGCAAAGUUCUAGUACUGAAAAGACAAUAUCCAUAUCAUAUGAAAACGAAUAUACAUAAAGCUAAUUCUUUAUUGAAUACACAGAUUGAAAAUAUUAAUAUUGUUGCAACUGCAUUCAGAAACAGAAUUGUUACAUACAGAUUAAAUGUCGAUCAGCAAGUCGAGUACCUCGGCUUAGAGGCGGUGAUAUAUGACAACCAAGAACAAUUAAUAGAUUUGAUCAAUUUAUCUUUAAAUAAACAUGACUGCAUUAAACUAAAUUUUGAAUUGUUUGCCUAUUUUAUGUUGCCAAAAUCUGAUGAAACACAAUUAAAGUCGUUUAAUACAAAAUAUAUGAUUGUAUAUAAGAAUACUGAUUUGAAAAAGUUAAUAACGAAUAUGAUGAAUACAUUUAAUGAAAAGUUAACCGAAUUUCAACAUUGUCAAUCUGGGUGGACCUUUGUUUCGUUUAGUCAUAUCGAAAUUAAUAUAAAUAAAUAUUCUCCUAUGA